rnacentral:lncRNA from 1 species
UGGAGAGGGCAAGGUUUGUGUCUAGCUUGCAGUGCCAUGACGCAAGUGCUAGGCAAAGGCAAGCUACGAUGAAUAAUGAUUAAAAGCUGGUACCGCAAUUAGCCUUUGGUAUCUUGUUGGCAUAUGUCAAGAAGACAGCAGGAGGCAGGAACCUAUAAGUGACACAGAGGAGUCCAUUCAAAGGUUUUGGCGGCUUGCUCGGACGGUGCCAUUUCUAAAAAAAAA